CAGUUGGCUCCGCGUUGUUGCCUGACCCCCGACCUGGCAACGACGCGGAGCCACUC
rfam:Rhodococcus equi ATCC 33707 chromosome, whole genome shotgun sequence.